rnacentral:rRNA from 1 species
UCAAUAUUUACCGCAGGAGAAGGGUCUGGAAAGGCCAGCAAUAAAGGGUGAUAGCCCCGUAUCUGAAACGGUAAGUGUUGUGAACUCGAAGAGUAGGGCGGGACACGUGUUAUCCUGUCUGAAUAUGGGGAGACCAUCCUCCAAGGCUAAAUACUCCUGACUGACCGAUAGUGAACCAGUACCGUGAGGGAAAGGCGAAAAGAACCCCGGCGAGGGGAGUGAAAUAGAACCUGAAACCGUGUACGUACAAGCAGUGGGAGCACCCGAAAGGGUGUGACUGCGUACCUUUUGUAUAAUGGGUCAGCGACUUAUAUUCUGUAGCAAGGUUAACCGCAUAGGGGAGCCGUAGGGAAACCGAGUCUUAACUGGGCGUUAAGUUGCAGGGUAUAGACCCGAAACCC